CCUACGGGGGACAGCAGUCGAGAAUCAUUCACAAUGGGGGAAACCCUGAUGGUGCGACGCCGCGUGGGGGAAUGCAGGUCUUCGGAUUGUAAACCCCUGUCAUGUGGGAGCAAAUUAAAAAGAUAGUACCACAAGAGGAAGAGACGGCUAACUCUGUGCCAGCAGCCGCGGUAAUACAGAGGUCUCAAGCGUUGUUCGGAAUCACUGGGCGUAAGGCGUGCGUAGGCUGUUUCGUAAGUCGUGUGUGAAAGGCGCGGGCUCAACCCGCGGACGGCACAUGAUACUGCGAGACUAGAGUAAUGGAGGGGGAACCGGAAUUCUCGGUGUAGCAGUGAAAUGCGUAGAUAUCGAGAGGAACACUCGUGGCGAAGGCGGGUUCCUGGACAUUAACUGACGCUGAGGCACGAAGGCCAGGGGAGCGAAAGGGAUUAGAUACCCGUGUAGUC
rnacentral:rRNA from 1 species